rnacentral:rRNA from 1 species
CCCUUAGAUGUUCUGGGCCGCACGCGCGCUACACUGAUGAAUGCAACGAGCUCUACCCUUGACCGAAAGGCCCGGGUAAACUUGUGAAACUUCAUCGUGAUGGGGAUAGAUUAUUGCAGUUAUUAAUCUUCAACGAGGAAUUCCUAGUAAGCGCGAGUCAUCAGCUCGCGUUGAUUACGUCCCUGCCCUUUGUACACACCGCCCGUCGCUCCUACCGAUUGAAUGGUCCGGUGAAAUCUUCGGAUUGCUGACCAAGAUCCAGCAAUGGAGCUUGGUUGCGAGAAGUUGAUUAAACCUUAUUAUUUAGAGGAAGGAGAAGUCGUAACA